rfam:Triticum urartu cultivar G1812 contig956311, whole genome shotgun sequence.
CACAUACUCCCUUCGUUCGAAAAUACUUGUUCUAAAAAUGGAUAAAAUGGAUGUAUCUAUAACUAAAAUAAGUCUAGUUACAACCAUUUCUCAGACAAGUAUUUCCGGACAGAGGGAGUAAAUC